AUUGCAAUUUCUAAUAAUCCCUUUCAGGGAUUGAAAC
rfam:Calothrix sp. HK-06 NIES-2101_Scaffold_19, whole genome shotgun sequence.